UGCAGCUGAUCUUCUUUGCCUUCUCAUUGCUGCCACUUUUAUUUCUUGUCCUGCAUCGAUCAAGGCGCUUGUGGCAUCUCCUGCUUCUUCUGGGCCAGAGCAACAGGGGACCCCCCGCCCAGCAUCCCUAAAGCCGUGCCAGGGAUGGGAAUAACCCCUAGGAAAAACCUUUCAAUCAUCGCAACCAAAUCCUGUCAGUGCUGGUGGGCCUAGAGGCCAGGGUUGGCUACGCGCUCAUCGCGGGCAUCGUCUGCAUCCAGAAGCCGGUGCCUAGCCACGUGGGGCCUGGCGCCAUUGCAGUCAAGGAGGAAUAAGAAUAAGAGUGGGGCACCUGGCUGAGUGACAAUGUGCUCCGUGUUCUUCAAAUGGACCGUGGUUCUUGUACUACGUUAGGCCUGGCAAAGCCACCUCCCCUCAGACGCUUCUCUCUCUUUCCUCUUGUUCAUUCCAGAAUUCAGGGCAUGGGACGGGGUGGGGGGCAGCCGAGGCCAAUAAAUCUGUGCCACCCA